AUUGAACGCUGGCGGCAGGCCUAACACAUGCAAGUCGAACGAGUGGCGGAAGGGUGAGUAAUGUCUGGGAAACUGCCCGAUGGAGGGGGAUAACUACUGGAAACGGUAGCUAAUACCGCAUACCAUCGGAUGUGCCCAGAUGGGAUUAGCUUGUAGGUGAGGUAACGUCUCACCUAGGCGACGAUCCCUAGCUGGUCUGAGAUGAUGACCAGUACCACUGGAACUGUGCCACGGGACAGACGCGGUGGGGAGGCAGCAGGGGGUAAUAGUGCACAAUGGGCGCAAGCCUGAUGCAUCCAUGCCGCGUGUAUGAAGAAGGCCUUCGGGUUGUAAAGUACUUUCAGCGGGGAGGCGUUGCCCGCAGAAGAAGCACCGGCUAACUCCGUGCCAGCCGCCGCGGUAAUUC
rnacentral:rRNA from 1 species